UGUAUCCCCUUGUAAUGAUACAGUUUGUGGAGACAAUGGAAGAUGCGAAGUAUUGGCAAACAAUUCAGUUUUUUGCAGUAUAACAGAGUGCAGUCCACUAGUAGGAAAAGAAUUUCAGUUGAUAAAUCAGUCGAAAAGCGUCAUGAUGACAGGGAGUCUAAUUCAGUACAAGUGCACCAACAAUGCUGCUGUCCAUAUUGAACGUCGUUGUCAGCAAACAGGGAUAUGGAAAGAGUUAGGUAACUCACCAAAUGAAUGUGGUGAUCAGUCAGAUUUACAAGAUUUACCGGAUUGGUAAAAGAAUUCAACACACUAUAAAAUACAUGAUUUGAUGACAGCUGUCAUUCCAGUGUAUUUAUCGACAUUCUACAAGUUCAACUAAUUGAUUAUUAAACAAUUGUUCCUGUUGUCAGACCAACGCCUUACUUACACAACUAUGAAUCAUUAAAUAGCCAACCUGCAGAUUAUCUCUACUCCCAACCAACGAAAUGGCAUCACCAUAUUCAUCGUCUAUCAAAGGCCUUUUUUAAAUAAGUGAAUAAUACGGGCUCUUUACUAAAACGUAAAUCUGUACAUAAUGCAUUCGAUAGAAUUUAUAUGGACAAAGAUUUGAACACACUAGAAUCUUCAAUACAUUGAGAUUCUUGCAGUAUAUUUUAUUGCGGUAUCCCUGGUCCCUGUAGAAGAUGUGUUACUAUAUACCUUCUCCUCCUUAUUUAUGAGGUGAA